AACGAACGCUGGCGGCAUGCCUAACACAUGCAAGUCGAACGAGAUCUUCGGGUCUAGUGGCGCACGGGUGCGUAACGCGUGGGAAUCUGCCCCUUGGUUCGGAAUAACAGUUGGAAACGACUGCUAAUACCGGAUGAUGACGAAAGUCCAAAGAUUUAUCGCCAGAGGAUGAGCCCGCGUAGGAUUAGCUAGCUGGUGUGGUAAAGGCGCACCAAGGCGACGAUCCUUAGCUGGUCUGAGAGGAUGAUCAGCCACACUGGGACUGAGACACGGCCCAGACUCCUACGGGAGGCAGCAGUGGGGAAUAUUGGACAAUGGGCGAAAGCCUGAUCCAGCAAUGCCGCGUGAGUGAUGAAGGCCUUAGGGUUGUAAAGCUCUUUUACCCGGGAUGAUAAUGACAGUACCGGGAGAAUAAGCUCCGGCUAACUCCGUGCCAGCCGCCGCGGUAA
rnacentral:rRNA from 1 species